rnacentral:lncRNA from 1 species
GCAUGUUGGGUAGAGGGAAUUCCUUAACCCCUUUAGGUUCUCAUAACUUUUCCCCUUUUUUUUAAACGAAUUAUGAACAUGAUGUAAAGCUUAUGAUAACAUGACUUGUAUGAUGAAUGAUGUGAAAAAUAUGUACUAUUUUUUUUGUAGAAUUUAUGUGUUCUUGUAGAUAAUUGUUAGUAUGGAUUGUUGUUCUUAUGUUAUUAUGAAUUGAUGAACAAAACAUGUCAAAUCCAUGUUAGUUGGUAGAUAAUUG